rnacentral:rRNA from 1 species
CCUACGGGAGGCAGCAGUAGGGAAUCUUCCACAAUGGGCGAAAGCCUGAUGGAGCAACGCCGCGUGAGUGAUGAAGGCCUUCGGGUUGUAAAACUCUGUCAUUCGGGACGAACCGGAGUCUGAGGAAAUGCAGACUCUCUGACGGUACCGGAAGGAGGAAGCCCCGGCUAACUACGUGCCAGCAGCCGCGGUAAUACGUAGGGGGCAAGCGUUGUCCGGAUUCACUGGGCGUAAAGCGCGCGCAGGCGGUGAUGUAAGUCUGAGGUGAAAACCCGAAGCUCAACUUCGGGACUGCCUUGGAUACUGCGUCACUUGAGGAUAGGAGAGGCAAGGGGAAUUCCACGUGUAGCGGUGAAAUGCGUAGAGAUGUGGAGGAACACCUGUGGCGAAGGCGCCUUGCUGGCCUAUUUCUGACGCUGAGGCGCGAAAGCGUGGGGAGCAAACAGGAUUAGAUACCCUGGUAGUCCACGCUGUAAACGAUGAGUGCUAGGUGUAGGUGGGCUCAUACCCAUCUGUGCCGAAGCUAACGCAUUAAGCACUCCGCCUGGGGAGUACGGUCGCAAGACUGAAACUCAAAAGGAAUUGACGG